AAAAACUGUUUUUGCUGCUGGUUCCUCCAAAAAAUUUAUCUUCGCACGUUUCCUCCCUCCAUUUCCUGGGUUUUUUUCCUCCUCUUUCGGAAGCAGUUAUGAUCUAACAGAGAAUACAAAACCCAUCUCCUUCCCUGUACGCCCUCUUCCAAUCUCUCCAGUCUCCUUCCCCAGCAGCUCCACCGUGGACGGCAGCUGCCGCCCCCGGCACGGACCCCUGCAGCCCUGGCCGCGCGUCCCCAGUGCGGCGGUACCGCAGCCCUGGUCGCGCGUCCCCAGGACCCCAGAUCCAGUCCGGCCGCGCGGCGUGCGCUCAUCCUCCGCGCGUCCCAACGUGUGCGUCCCCGGCGCGCAUCCCCUGUGCGUGCCGCACAGCAGCAGCAGCAGCCGCCUCACCAUCGCGUAUUGACUUGGUGAAUUUGUUCCUGGCGAUCGAGCAGAUUCUAGGUGACCCGUGUAUAGCUUUUGUGGAUUUGGGCACUGGGAGGUUAUUUGCAUCUACUAGCAGCUGCGACGUGGACGUGAUACAUUUGCAGGACCUGGCCCAACCUCUUUGCACCAUGAUCUAAGUUGUCAGCCAAGUCUGAUCUGCCCAUCUGCUGCCUUGCAAUUAUUCUGAUUGAGCCCGUGUACAAGACUGUCCUUCUUUAUUCAAUUCGGCGAGCGCCAAGGCUGCAUGUAAGCUGUAUCCACUGGAUCCCAACACAAGCCUCCAGGUCUCAAACUACAGGUUACUGGAGAUGAAACACAACACCAGGGCUAGAAAUGGGUUACAAGUUGAAAUAGACAAUUUUACAAGUAAUCAAGGCCUUGAACUACCAUUUUCGAAUCAUACACACCACGUACCUGGAACUAAGGUUCACUGAUUAGACUAGCUUACAUGAAAAUUCAGUCGAAUAGCUUGAUUAACAAUAAAAUUUUUACAGCUAGCUGAAUCAAUUAGAGGCAAGAACUAUGACACUUUACUAGCAAAAAUCUCACGGAAAGUACCUAACAGAGUACUAAAAGCAUGUUCCAGAUGACAAGCAUAUAUAGCAAAUACUAAUUAGUGAUCAAUCCUGACAUGUAUUACCUCUGUUUUCUUUUACUUGUCGUUUAGGACAUCGACACGUUCUCCAACAAGCAUGCUUGAUCAAUAUUUUUGACAACUACCUUUUAGUAAAAGUUGAUAAAAAUUAGAUGAUUUCAAAAUAUUUUUCAUGAUAAAUUCACUACUAUUAUUUUCAUGUACCAAAUCCUAAUAGUUUUGUGUAUUUUAGUGGUCAAUGUUUCUAAAGUUUGACUGCACGUAUUCUAGGACGACAUUUAUUUGAGAACAAAAGUAGUACUAGUUAUGUUAGAAACCAGAUAGUAAAGGACUACCAGUUCAAGGCCAAAAUUACAAUGCCAAUUCUUUAAAUUAAUCUCUACUGACCUUAGUACAAACAAAUGCUGCAAACUGUCCGAGGAGAAUGCCAAAUUACUUACAAAUGAAUAAGCACUCGAAGUUGUUCAGAAGCACAGCAAGAUUGCCGCUGUCCUAGAAAUCCAAUUUCCGCCAUUUGUGCUGCGGUCUCACCGAUAAGGAAGACGGAGAUACAAUGCCCCUUUCGCACGACAUGACACACCGUGAUGCGGAGUUGAGCCUAGCUACUCAAGAUCGCGCCUCAAAGACUAGGUGAAGCACCCUUCCUUUUCCCUUGAACUGCGCAAAACAACCUCACUGGAAACCGACAAGCUCAUUGUCGACUCACUACAGAACCAGCAGGUCUCAAGGAAGCAGAGAAGAGCUCUCGAUUGAAGUGUUUUUCUAUGUGUAUCCUCGAGAAGAAGACGUGGGAGAGCAGAUAGAAGAGAGGAAGGAGUUGUCGGCCGCAGAAAUAGGACGCACAACGCAAUGGCCUCGCGCCCACGUCCAUCCUAUUGGGCCUGUUCAAUAAAGCCCUCCGUUAGCCCUUUUUGGAUGCACGCACUUGGGUUGAAUUUGUUAUACCGGCAUGACACUACGCUGCUGCUUUAUGAUAUGCGACGGGUUAAGUUCUGCCUAGCUGACCAAGCUGGGGAAGAUUUGGUUAUCCUGCCUGGGUUGACGUAGUUGGGGCCAUUUCGAACGCGUACUCUCACGGGUCCGUCGUCACAACCUAUGGGGAUCGUUCGACUCAGUUGCAUGUAUAAGUUAUAUCUUAGUUGCACCAUGGCUUUGUGACUUUUGUUGUACCUGAUGAGGAGCUUCCAUUAGAUAAGGAUGGUACCAUUGUUCCUGAGUAUGCGCAUAGCAGAGAGAACCCAACUUUUACCCUUGGGGCCACAUUUGCUGAGAGUGAUACCUUCAAGCUUGCUAUAAGGCAAUACACCAUUUUAUUGUUUUUUGUGUAAUCUAGAAUAGUUGCUUCUUUCAUAUCAGGAAGAUUUCAGAUGAACAUACAUGUUUGUGCACAAGCAAUUUGAGUGGCAAGAUGGCUUCACAGGCUUGGGUUGGAGAUAGAGAGAAAGGAAAUAAUGAUCAAGGAACUAAAUUUUGGAGUUAGGAAGCUUCAAGAGAAGUUGGAAAAGAAGUACAAUGUUACCCUGAGGACUGAGGUAUGGGAGAGUGUGGAAUGGGAGGCAAAAGGCUUUGGACGAUAUACAUGGAUCAUGUUGGAAUGACAGUUUUGAAGGGCUUUUGAGAUUCAAGGCUGCAGUGGAGCCAACCUACGUAGCAUUGUUUAUAUUGAUGUUAAGAAUCGCAAUGGGAAGGUGGUCUUCAAUAUGCUAUUUGAUGGAUUCUUGAAACGAUGUAGUAUCUGGGAUGUGACUCAUAACUUUUCUGAAUAGGAGGUACACAUGCUAGCUUGCUGCAGCUACUGCGGUAGAUGAACAUAAUUGGUUGUUCCCCGUGGCUUAUGGUGUGUUUGACAAGGAGAUUGAUGAUAACUUGGAGUGGCUUAUGCAACGACUGCAACAAUCAAUCGGCACACCUCCUGGGUUGGUGAUACACACUGAUGUGGAAAAGGGACUUGAGUCUGCUGUUAGAAAGGUAUUCUAUACUGGUGUUGAGCAUAGAGAGUGCUUCAAGCAUCUCCUUGGCAAUUUCAAGAAGUAUAAGGGUGACAUAAUUGUCAAGAACAUGUGGCCAGUUGCUUGGACAUUUGUACUAAAAAGCAUUCAAGCUUGAUGGAUGAGAUGGAACAGCAUGCCCUACUGCUAUUGCCCAUCUAAAGAAAAAUCAGAAACAUUUGUGGACAAGGAGCAAGUUUUCAGAGUUGUCCAAGGUUGAGUAUGUGUGCAACAACCUUGUUGAAUCUGUCAAUAACUGGAUCAAGGGGAUAAAGGACUUACAACUUGAUGAUUUUGUUGAUAAGAUAAGGCAGAUGAUAAUGGUUUGGAUGUCCAGUGUGGAGGGUAGCAUUUUGCCUAGUGUGGUGAAGGCUCUCAAUGCCAAGAGUAGGGUGCUAAGGUAUGAAAUUUUCAGGAGUGGAGACAAUGCUGAUGCAUCAGGGAUUGAUUCUAGAAUCGACAAGACAUGGAGGCAUGCAGUAUUGCUCAAAGAAUGCCAAUGUUCGUGUUGGCAGUAGCAGGUUUCUGGGAAGUCCUGCCUCCAUGCAAUUGCUAUCAUAUGCUUUCUUUGGCAAGCGAAAAUGGAAGAUUAUGUGCAUGAAUACUUCUCGGUGGCUAGAUUCAAGAUGGCAUAUGGCAGUUCUAUCUUACCUUUGGGAUAUAAGGAUCUGUAGCCUCAAGUUGAUCCUUCCCAAGCUUGGAAGAUUAGCAGGAAGGCCCAUAGUAACAAGCAUUAAGUCCUCUGGUGAUACCGGCACAAAGUCAAAGCAAUCUGGUAGAUGCAAGAGUUUGGCCACCACAAGACCAAUUGCAAGGAGCCUGAGUGGCGAGAGGGAGAUAGCCUUCCAAUCGCAGCAUGAAAGACUAGAAAAGGCAAGCUAUAACAGCGUAAAUGUAUUUUUUUUAACUAAAUUAAUUAUUUCCUAAACUUGUGUAUCUGGAGAUGUAAUAUUUUGCAUCCCCUGCUUGUCUCAUGUUAUUAUACUGAGGAUUGCGGUUAUGAACUAUCAAUUUCUUUUGGACCUACAGAAGUUUGCACUUUUUAUCACAUAUAUGAUACUGAAUCUUUCACCUUAUUUGACAUGUACUGCUGAAUAUUGUGCUUUUGGUCACAUAUGUGCUACUGCAACAUACACUGCAUAUAUGAUGAUUCCGAAAGCAUCUUUUUUUGCUCACAGAAGUGCUGCUGGAACAAGCACCAUUUGCUAACAAUUAUGCUGCUGAAACAAACACUGCAUAUAUGUUGUAAAAACAAUAAGCAGUGUUUGGUCAAACAAGCACCAUUUGCUAACAAUUAUGCUACUGAAACAAACUCUGCAUAUAUGUUGUAAAAAUCAGCCUGUUUGGUCACAGAAAUGCUGCUGGAACAUGCAUUCUUGCUCAAGUACAUCAAGUAUUCCUUUCCACUUCGAUUCACACAUACUGUACAUUCAAUUUUGCACAUGUACAUGCUGCUGAAAUAAUACAAUCUGAUUCACAUGCAAGUGUUUCUGAAAAACUAGUCACAGGUAUGCUUUUGUUGACAUGUUGAAUGAAAAUUCGUGUUGUACAAAUUCUCCUGGUUACAAUCAGCACAAGCAUAUCAAAAACUGGAAACUAGUUCACUAGAAUCAAACCAAAUGAAAGUAGUUGACAACCAGAAGAAGCAAUCUUGUUGUAAAUGUGCUCCGCGCUGGAGUGCUUGGGGCAGAUGCGGCGAAUUUCAGUACGACAUGGACAAGAAUUGCGUAUCUCUGAUCGACCCUCCGGACAAUUCGUUGGGGUUCGCCGGCGUUAAAGGAAGGUGAAUCCCGAGGGAGUUGCAGGAUGGGUACAAUCCAAUGCAGGGUCAUCGAGUUUGAGAUACUGUUCCCAUCGACAACCCUUACAAGCGAGCUAGUGUGUGUGAUUGGUUUUUCUGAGGGUGUUAGUGUCAUCUUCAUCAGCAUAGAUGUCGGCGUGUUCACCAUUGAGCUCAACUCAGGACUACAUUUCCCUCUUACCCUUCACACGCUUCUACACUCCAGAUCGGGGUAGAUUGUCAUGGCCAGCAAGGACUCUCCCUGAUUUGAAAUGUGUCGCUUAACCGUAAGACGUGGCAACAUGGACGAAUCCAUCAUCAUCUUGAGUCAGCUGCUGUUGGCUUCUUGCAGAGCUACUGGUUUCAAGUGGUUUCUAUCGUGGUUUCAAAUGGUGCAAGUCAUUAUGGUCGAUUAUGGUUGUUUUGUCGAGUUCGUCCAGGUCUUAUAGUCGAAAACUGUUCAAGGAUCAUUAAAUGCAAUUGCAGAACUAGGACUUCGCUCAUCAAAACCGGUUGAGACAUACUUGUCGUACUGCAUGUUUCAGUAAUUUCAGUUUGGUUUUAAUCUGCCAUCGUGUUGCUCACCCCUACUCUUACAAGCCACAAGGCACUACUCCAUGAAGAAAGGCGCUUCAAUGACUUGUGCAGGAUCGAAGAACUUUUCAAUGCCUGUUAGGAUAAUCUACACCCAAUGUUGA